AACGAACGCUGGCGGCAUGCCUAACACAUGCAAGUCGAACGAGACCUUCGAGUCUAGUGGCGCACGGGUGCGUAACGCGUGGGAACCUGCCCUUAGGUUCGGAAUAACUCCCCGAAAGGGGUGCUAAUACCGGAUAAUGUCUUCGGACCAAAGAUUUAUCGCCUUUGGAUGGGCCCGCGUUGGAUUAGCUAGUUGGUAGGGUAAAAGCCUACCAAGGCGACGAUCCAUAGCUGGUCUGAGAGGAUGAUCAGCCACACUGGGACUGAGACACGGCCCAGACUCCUACGGGAAGCAGCAGUGGGGAAUAUUGGACAAUGGGCGAAAGCCUGAUCCAGCAAUGCCGCGUGAGUGAUGAAGGCCUUAGGGUUGUAAAGCUCUUUUACCCGGGAUGAUAAUGACAGUACCGGGAGAAUAAGCGCCGGCUAACUCCGUG
rnacentral:rRNA from 1 species